AAAUGUGAAAAACAGUCAUAAGUCACUUUUUUCAGUGCCAUUGUAACUUUGAAUGGUCACUAAAUGAAUGAUUGUAAGUCGAGAACUACUUCUAUUAGAGUAGGCUAAUUUUACUGACAAUUUCAAUUUGCUGUGGAGACUGAUGCAGUUAUUAUUUAUUGUUUACAAUUCCUUUGUUUAAAGGAAUUAAUUAUAUUGAACCAAUAAAAUGGAGCUUGGACAAAAUUAUUUUUCACUUGUCCUAUUGUUUAAAAGGAUCAGUUUACUGAAUCAAUAAAAUGAAACUUGGAUAAAAUCCUUUUUCACUUGCAGUCAGAGAGUAACAGCAAAUAACUUAAUAUCAAUUUUAGCAGUCCACAUCAGCUUUUCUUAACCUGAUGUUCUUCAGAUUUGUUCUACUUUAAGUCUUAUCCAAGGAAACAUUGCAUGAUGCCCUUCCAUAAUGACAUUGUGGGAGUGAUGACACCAUGGAAGUGAUCUGCACAUAUUUCAGAGCAUCAUUUGUAUGAGUAUAAUGGAACCAACUUCAAAAGCUGCUUCAAGAGAGUUGUCGGCAGCUGCUGCAGUCCUUGAUGUAACACAUUUUUAUUCCAAAAAUGGCCACAUAGAAAGCAAGAUUAAAAAAAAAAAGUAAAAUGAAGAAAAUAACUCAUCUAUGGAAAUUCUUAAUCAUCCAGGUCACAGUUGUCCCAAAAGUGGUUUUUUUUUCUUCAAAAAGGCAACUGGAUUUUUUUGGUUUUUAUUCUGAAAAUUUUUCGCUUCUCAUCCGAGAAGCUUCUUCAGUUCUGAAGAAGGAGGAUGAUAUUUGGGAAGUAUUGCAUGUGACAAAUUCAUUGACAUGACCAAACUCCAUUGAAAUCAAUUUAAAGCAUACGUAAACACAAGCAUAGGCAGAGGGAAGAAAAGAAGAUGCAGUAAUUAUAAUUUAUCUUUUCUUUUAUUCUAGAAUGUUAACAUUGGCAUUUAAGUAGGAUUAAAUAUGUUCUUACAAAUGACAUUUAAUCAUGAGAGCAGGCUGCCCCCAAAACUGCCAGCACCUGUGCUUUUUUUCCAUUCUUUUCAAGGCCUCUCCUCAGCAUCAGCAUAGCAAAAUAACUAUAAAAGCUUGCUGGGAAAAAGCCGAGGGAGUAUUGGAAUAGCAGUAACUGUGAAAAGUGCAGAAGAGAGAAACUAGAAGUAAGUAAUGUGCUUUGUGUGUGUGUUAUCUAGGGACCUGUCUUAUUGUUGGCUGUUUUGUGUCUUAAGCCUACCGAAUUUGUUAUAGUUUAAAAGAACGUAGCUCAUAUUCUUUUUAUUUUAAAAAAAUUAAAAAAUUAAAUACUUUUUAUAAAUACAUUUAGAGUUGUGUAAGAAGAGACAGAUAUUUAAUAUUAAGACAAUCCUGAAAUGAUGGUAGUCUUUUAAAAGAGCAUACAAGAAUUUGGGGGAAGCUUGUAGAUUAUGGAACUGGGCAAGGGAUGAGUUCAAAUGUUUUAUUUUCAUAAGCCACACUUAUCAGUCUGAACUGGAAACAUGCCAGUGGAUAAACACAAAAUAAAAUGAUUUAUUAGUACCUUAACUAUCAAUUCUGCAUGCACAGAAAAUUUAAAUCUUUGAGGCUUUUAUUCACAGCUCAGACACUUACAUUCUAUGAUUGUCUUUUUUACUCCAGGUUAAAAUGCCCCCAACUGUACUUCUGAGAUCAAACAUUUGUUUCCGUGUGCUAUCAUCCUGUAUCCAGGAAGCAUCAAGCUAGAUGUGUGAUGCUGACUGGGAUAUGCUGGGCGUUGAAGUUCACAUAUCUUCAAACUGUUGGGAAAUACUGGUCUAGAAGAUCAUCUCAGUGGGACAUUGAUUAUCCCAAGAAACUUCACUCGUUCCCAAAGUCUGCCAUUCCAGAGAUACAAACAUAAUACAUUAAAGUACCAAUGUUAACAUGUUAAGAAACGAACAAAAUCCUAGAAGGGCUGCCUAUUCCCUCUCUUCAAGUCUCUGCUUCAACGUAUGUUUAAUGUUCAACUAUAAUCUCCCUUCCAGAAUGCAGAAUAAAACUUUAUUUCCACCCUUGCCCCAAAUAGAUAUGAAUAACAUUUAAGCAAAUAUUAAAAUAAGCUAAAGAAAUAUCAUCCCUAUAAUGAGUCCCAGUCCCUCUUCGUCUCUUCAAUUUUUGAUGCUUUCUUAAGUAAUUAUUCUCAGAGGCCUUCAGGUGUAUUUUAUUACCAAUAUUGGUUAUACCUGGGUUUUAAUAUGUCCCACUAAGACUUUUCUUCAAUUUACAAGGGAGGGGAAAAGAAAAGAGAACCUAUUUGUCAAUUGCUGCAGCCAACAUCCAAUUAGAUCGACAAAGAUAAAUUUUUGUCCUGUUCUCUUUUACAGCUACCUUUGCCAGUUAUUUGAAAUAUUAGAGCUUGCUGAGUUUUUACUUACUGCCGACCAACGCUUGUCAAAUUACUUUUCUAUAGGAACCAAUCACAUUUUUGAAGAAGAAAAGGGCGGGUUCCAUUCGAGAGCUCACCUACACCUGCCUCCUAAUUGUUUUCCCAAGAAAUACCCAGCACAGUUUCCAUCGCUGAAGAAACUGCCUUUAGUCAACUCUAGAGGCUAUUCGGGGUAAGUUAGCCUCUUCUACGGCGCGACCCUACAACGGUUCACCUGGGAAAGUUGAUCGCUCCCAUUUGGAGCGGGCGGGCGCUUCAAGACAGCUGACUCUGAAACAGCCUGUUGCUGAGGUAGCGAGGUUCUCAGGAAAGGAAGGUAACUACAAUCCUUCCGCGGGACGCGGAGAUGAUGGUCUGAGGGUUUAUUCCCAUUCUCUUGGCGACUGGCAAGAGCGAGCACGUGAGUUCCAAGGGGAACAGGUGAGAGCGCAGCUUUGCCUUCCCUUCUUGCCCGAAGGCAGCUCCCACAGGUUUUGCCCUGGAGAAGACCCCUGCUUCCAUCUCACGCUCUCGCUUCCCGGAAAAGAGGGAAGGGGCGCCCACCUAUUUCGCGGCAUUGAGUGUGUGCCGGUUCUAACACCCUCUCCCCCUGCCUUCCACGAGCGCCUUGCACUAAAGUCGCUGGAAGUGGACGGUUGUAUUGGUGCUCGGUGAAAGGAAGCGUCUCUUUGCGGCUCGGUUGCGCUGCAUGAGCUGGAACAGAGGUGGCUUUUAGCUCCGCGCUCUUGAAUAGUCCUGCCAGUAGAAGAGGAUUUCCGUCUGGUGUUUUCAAAAAUCCUUGAGGAUUUGCGCCUCUCUGGUGGGUUCUUUAAUCCAAUACGCGUUUCUUCGUAAAACAAUCCCUUGAACUCGGAGAAAACCUUCUUAAAUAUCUUUAGAUUUGCUUCUGAACAAAAAUGCACAGAGCUGCACUUCAAAUCUCAUGGGAGUUAAAGCAAUCCCCAUGAAAUAUGUAUAUCUUUUUAAUUGUUUUGAAACGUGCCUGCCCUCUUUGACUUUUACCAUUCCUCAAUAGCCUUCUGCGCAUACAACAACUGCAUAACAGGCAGGAACAUCACAGAACUCUUUUCUUCCUUGACUGUCCUGAAGGACCCAGCCAAAAAGUAUAGGGAACAGUGGCAUGGACACAGCCCUUCUUGAACAAAACUGAUACUGAAAAGUCUGCACCACUUGAGAAAAGCAAAGUCCUUGAAAGAAGUUCGGACUGUCCCCUGCCCCCCCCCCCCGAACGGGAAAGGAAAG